GGAGAGCCAAAGUAACCCCUUCCGGACGGCUGAAAGGGGCCUCGCUAGUGAUGCUGUGCUCAUGGAUCACCGAGGCUUGAGCCUGCAUUCCCGAGGCCCUCGUUUGUCGUGCCUUCAAGAAGCGCUCAAUAUCCAAUGCCCUUGAUGGCACUGAAGAUGAGAUGCUAUGGGAGGACAUCUCUAACAAGAGAGUUUCGGAAGAGAGUGCAUCAGAUGACGAUGAAUAAGUGUGUAAAUAAAUGUAUUCAGUUUCUGUUGUCCUCGAACAAUAUUCGGGUGAAAACCUUUUUUCUCACGUUUGCUAUUCCCAAAAUACACAUCGAACUAUAUGCGGGUUUUUACGGUAAUAUGCACACAGUAACAGUAGGAACGAACCAACUGAUGCGAACUGUGUCCUGUAAUUACAGUUGAACCCUUUAUAAGAGACAGUGAUGUAAGAGACAAGUGGUUAUAAGAGGCACCACUGUGCCUAACAGUGAAAUAGGGGUUGAUAAGAAAAUGAGGAUGUGGCACCCUGCUUAUUAGAGACACCUCAUGUAAGGGACAAGAACUGCUCCCUAGUGUGUUUCUUAUAAAGGGGUUCAGCUGUAUCACCAAAUGGCAGCACUCUAUGGGAACCUGCUUGAACUCAUCAGGGAAUAGCUGGCAGUGAACACACACCUAGAAACAUGUUUUUCUUCAAAAUGAAGGCGUUUAUAACAGCACCGACUUUUGAAUUCCAACGACAAAAUUUGGCUGGGAUAUUCAUAGCUCUGAGGCCUGGUCCAGGCACCUUUUAAUUGAAACUAUUCAUUUGCAUUUAGAACAGUGUCUUGCAUGUAUUCUAAUUUUUCCUGAGUAUUUGUUAAUUUACAAAAAAGUGUGAUUGUCACAUUGUUUGCAUGCUUUUUGUUUACUUGCAGGUUAUGUCCAAGCAUGGAGGAGGUUUUUCUUGCUCUGUGGGGCUACCUGCCACUGCAUUUUGCUCUUACACUGUGACGUCCUAUGUGCUUUUUUUAUCUUUGGUUUUCUGUAAAUAAAGCAUUAAAAAAAGUGCAUAA